rnacentral:rRNA from 1 species
AGCAAGCCUCCGAGUGGACUGGGCCAAGACCCUAAAGCCAAAAGAAACAUCUUUAAGCCGCAGAAUAUCUGACCAAUAAUGAUCCGGCUAAAAGCGAUCAACGAACCAAGUUACCCUAGGGAUAACAGCGCAAUCCUCUCCCAGAGCCCAUAUCGACGAGGGGGUUUACGACCUCGAUGUUGGAUCAGGACAUCCUGAUGGUCGAGCCGCUAUUAAGGGUUCGUUUGUUCAACGAUUAAAGUCC